rnacentral:rRNA from 1 species
UGAGGAAUAUUGCGCAAUGGCCGAAAGGCUGACGCAGCGACGCCGCGUGAAGGAUGAAGUCCGUUAGGACGUAAACUUCUUUUGCAGGGGAUGAACAGUCCGUUUUACGGAUUUGACCGUACCCUGCGAAUAAGGAUCGGCUAACUACGUGCCAGCAGCCGCGGUAAUACGUAGGAUCCGAGCGUUGUCCGGAUUUACUGGGUGUAAAGGGCGUGUAGGUGGAUUGGCAAGUCGGUGGUGAAAGCCUGCGGCUCAACCGCAGAAUUGCCCUCGAUACUACCAAUCUUGAGUACGGCAGAGGGAGAUGGAAUUCAUGGUGUAGCGGUGAAAUGUGUAGAUAUCAUGAAGAACACCGGUAGCGAAGGCGGUCUCCUGGUCCGUUACUGACACUGAGGCGCGAAAGCGUGGGGAGCAAACAGG